CCUGCUAAGCAUUCUUGUGGCGGCGGCGGUGCUCCAUGAGUGCACGGGACAAGGACGGGAAUGCCCAAAUGGCUGCGGCUACUCGACAACGCUGUCGAUGUUCUCGUAUUUUCGCCUGGAAGCUACUUCAGACCCGAAUCCGGAGCGAUUCUGCUUGACGUUUGAGAGCAGUCAGACGCCAGAUUAUGACAUCGUCCCUCUACAUAGACAUCUCUAUAAAAACGAAUACAAAGUCAAGUACCAGACGGAGGACGGUACGACACGGUACGACUCAGCCAAUGUAACUACUCUCAUGGGCGAUAUCCGUCUCUACUUCAAAAGUGAGUAUGAAGACAUGGGUCCUCCACCAAUUUGUUUAUUCUCUCCGCUUGGUGCUUUCGUGACUGCCGACAGUAUGAAGACGUCUGCAUCCUGCAGUGGGAUUAGCUACAGGAGUGAUUUCGAUGUUUAGCAACUCUGGCGAUCCAUAAUUUGAAAGCAUCUUAUUAGAAGCGCGAGCGCGUCGC